rnacentral:rRNA from 1 species
UACGGGAGCGGCAGACGGGAGAGUAACACGUGGGAACGUACCCUUCAGUUCGGAAUAACCCAGGGAAACUUGGACUAAUACCGAAUACGUCCGUAAGGAGAAAGAUUUAUCGCUGAAGGAUCGGCCCGCGUCUGAUUAGCUUGUUGGUGAGGUAACGGCUCACCAAGGCGACGAUCAGUAGCUGGUCUGAGAGGAUGAUCAGCCUCACUGGGACUGAGACACGGCCCAG